AUUGAACGCUGGCGGCAUGCCUAACACAUGCAAGUCGAACGGAGAUAGGGGUAACCUUAUUUCAGUGGCGGACGGGUGAGGAAUGCGUCGGAAUCUGCCCUAUGGUGGGGGAUAACACAGGGAAACUUGUGCUAAUACCGCAUAAUGUCGAGAGACCAAAGCAGGGGACCGCAAGGCCUUGCGCGAUAGGAUGAGCCGACGCCCGAUUAGCUUGUUGGUAGGGUAAUGGCCUACCAAGGCGACGAUCGGUAGCUGGUCUGAGAGGAUGAUCAGCCACACUGGGACUGAGACACGGCCCAGACUCCUACGGGAGGCAGCAGUGGGGAAUAUUGGACAAUGGGCGCAAGCCUGAUCCAGCAAUGCCGCGUGUGUGAAGAAGGCCUGCGGGUUGUAAAGCUCUGUCAGGGUGGAAAAAUGGCAAGUGGUCUAAUAGGCCGCUUGAUUGAUGGUACACCCAAAGGAAGCACCGGCUAACUUCGUGCCA
rnacentral:rRNA from 1 species